rnacentral:rRNA from 1 species
UCGCCUGUUUAACAAAAACAUGUCCUUUUGGUAUUUAUUUAAGGUUCAACCUGCCCAAUGAUUUUUCAAUGGCCGCGGUAAUUUGACCGUGCAAAGGUAGCAUAAUCACUUGUCUCUUAAUUGGAGGCUAGAAUGAAUGGUUGGACGAGAUAUAUACUUUCUUUUUUGUAUUAUAUUGAAUUUAAUUUUUGAGUCAGAAAGCUUAAAUUUUUUUAUAGGACGAGAAGACCCUGUAGAAUUUUAUAUUGAAUUAAUUUUAGUGUUUUUUGUUUAUUAUUGGCUCUUUCUUUAUUUUAGUAUUUUGUUGGGGCGACAGGAAGAUUUAUUUAACUCUUUUUUUUUUAUUCAUUGAUUUAUGUUUUAUUUUUGAUCCUUUAUUAAAGAUUAAAAGAUUAAAUUACCUCAGGGAUAACAGCGUAAUCCUUUUGGAGAGUUCUUAUCGAUAAAAGGGUUUGCGACCUCGAUGUUGGAUUAAAA